GAUGAACGCUGGCGGCGUGCCUGAUACAUGCAAGUCGAGCGAAUGGAUUAAGAGCUUGCUCUUAUGAAGUUAGCGGCGGACGGGUGAGUAACACGUGGGUAACCUGCCCAUAAGACUGGGAUAACUCCGGGAAACCGGGGCUAAUACCGGAUAACAUUUUGAACCGCAUGGUUCGAAAUUGAAAGGCGGCUUCGGCUGUCACUUAUGGAUGGACCCGCGUCGCAUUAGCUAGUUGGUGAGGUAACGGCUCACCAAGGCAACGAUGCGUAGCCGACCUGAGAGGGUGAUCGGCCACACGGGGACUGAGACACGGCCCAGACUCCUACGGGAGGCAGCAGUAGGGAAUCUUCCGCAAUGGACGAAAGUCUGACGGAGCAACGCCGCGUGAGUGAUGAAGGCUUUCGGGUCGUGAAACUCUGUUGUUAGGGAAGAACAAGUGCUAGUUGAAUAAGCUGGCACCUUGACGGUACCUAACCAGAAAGCCACGGCUAACUACGUGCCAGCCGCCGCGGUAA
rnacentral:rRNA from 1 species